rnacentral:rRNA from 1 species
AUGCACGCCUAUGAGCAGGCUACCCUGCACGCUGGUCUUCUACUACUUUCCCAGGCAUAUUACUUCCCUGUGAGAUGCUUCCAAGAGCUCUAUUCAGCUCCAUUGUAUUUUUCUUCUUUUUUUGAUUGCUUUUCCUUCUCUGUUUCUUUUUUAUAUGCAAGGCCAUACAUUUUUACCAUGCAUCCUUGCUCACACAGAAAAUUACUUCAAAAUACACAUGCUUCUAAAAAUGCACAUCCUUUUCAAAACUAUGUAUAUCUUAUUAUCAAAGAUUAUAAGGCAGAAUGUGUUUGCCCACGACUAAAACAAGUAAUACAUUGUACUUUUUUCAAAGCACACGUGGAAUUAGCGGGCUCCUUCAGGUAUUUCAAGGGAAAAACAGAAUCUGUUUAA